rnacentral:lncRNA from 1 species
AUGUCUUAAAAGACAUGAAUCAAUCAGAUACCAUUUUAGUAAAAAUGGAACCAUUAUGUCUUAAAGACAUGAAUCACAUCUCCAUUUUUUUUUAUAACGUGAGAUUUCAAGAAUUAAAAAUAUGAUAGUGUCUUCAUCACUUCAAAAUGAAAACCCCAGAAUUCAGAGCACCUUAAUUAACGUGAGAUUUUGCAAUAUUAAGGGAGUACGGUAUAAUCUUUCUCAAGAGAAUCGACUCAGGUAUAUUAAGGCUAAUCCUUCUUUCGUUUGGCAUGAUCCAAGUAAUGAUAUAUAAACGUAAUGAUAUUCCAUAAAUAGUUCUACUCUUAGCAGUUAAGGAUGUCUAUGUUAUACGUUCCCCUACGAUCAUGCAUAUCAAUUUGAGGACAUUAAUUACAUGUAAUAGUUGGCAUCCUGUGUUCAUGACUUUUCUGAGAUUUAUUAAGAUCACAUUCUAGCCCCUCUACGUGUUCUGGGAACGAUGUUGUUCCAAUUUAAUCCUUAAUUUUAAUACCUUUAAUGAUAUAGAGAAAGCAAGAAAAGGACGGAGACAGAUUUGUUGUAAUAAGAUAUUAAGAUGCUCUGACCACAUUCAUACUUAUUUGCAACUUACUUGACUAAGUGGGUAAGAGAAAAUUGUAGGUCAACUUAGUUGUGUACUAAUUACACAGAUUUGGUACUUCAUUUUUGGAGUGUUUCUAUAGAUAUUAUUUUCAUUUCACGGAUAUUACUCCGAGCAGAAGGCUUCCACUAAAAAAAUAAUUUUCAUUUCAUUUGGUUCCUUUUGUAGUCAGUAGCCUAAAUUACAGUUGUAUUUCUUGAUGAAGUAUGGCAGUCAUACAUUUACCACCGUGCUAUGGCCGGUUGGACAGUUAUAUAUUUACCAUCAAGCCACGGCUGGUCGGGCAGUCAUGCAUUUACCACCGCGCUAUGGCCGAUCGGACUGUUGCCACCGGUUGGGCAGUUAUGUAUUAUUAUUUACCACCGGUUGGGCAGUUAUACAUUUACCACCGAGCUACAGCCGGUCGGGUAGUUACCACUGAUCAGUUGGGUAGUCAUGCAUCAUACGAUAUGGAUAAUAGUCUCAAAGACAAGCAUUAUAUAUAUAAGUAUAAUGAGUAUGCAUAUACGGUGACACUCCAGAGAUUCAGGUUAAUUCUUAUAUGUCUUUAAUUAAUGUUGAAUUAUGGUUAUAUUUCAGUUCUGCCUUACAUACUCAGUACAUUAUUCGUACUGACAUUCUUUUGUUGGGGACGCUGCAUUCAUGCCUACAGGUAUAGAUAAUCAAUUUGACAAACUCUCAUAGUAGACAAGAUUGGCAUCCAAUGAAGAAUCGGUAAGACUCCACUUCUUCGGAGUGCAGCCGAGUCUAUGAAUCAUCAUGUCAGAAUUUUGCUACAGACUUAUGGGUAGNNN